rnacentral:lncRNA from 1 species
UAUCGGUUACAACAUCUCUAUUGUAAACCAUACGAGCAAGAGUUGUUUUGCCUUGACCUCCCAUCCCCAUUACAGCAAUGACUGGUAAAUCCUCCGCAUGAUUUGUGCACACUGCAUCGACUAAAAAUGAUAUAUCAUCAUUUCUUCCAACUAUGAGUGACUCGUCUUCAAAGGGGGGAGUAUUGCGCAUUUCCCUGGGCUGCACAGUAGUAGUUAAUUGUGCCACAGGUUGAAGCCCGAGUUUUCCAGCCCAUUCGAAAAUUUUGUCGAAAGAAGAAUUGAUGGACUUGAUCUUAUUGGCAACUUUGAAACGAUAAAGUACGCCCUUCUUAGUAGAAAAGAAGUCCCUCACCUUACUACGAUUUUCAACCUUUCUUCGAGUGACUUCAUAAGCAAGUUGAUCCAUAAAAGCAUCAGCUAUAUGAGCAACGUCCGCCAGUUUGUUGAACCAGCUCUGGACAGCAAACAUGUUUAGUCUUUUGCUAUCAGCAUCGGACAAGAGAGCAUCAAUGUCUUCCAACCUUUCUCGCAGCAUUACCAAAUCUUCCUGAAUAUUCCAAGCCUGAAUCACUUCUUCAGCUGCAAGUUAAACAAGCUUGAAAACCAGGCCACCAGCAACAUCAGCUACAAAUACAUCAGCCAUCUUUAUCAGUAUAGCUCAUGUAUAGGAAAACAAAUAUUUGUUAUGGAUGAAAAUUAUAAUUUGAUACCCCAACAACUCCACCGCGUUGAAGUUAAAUUACAAAGAAAAAAUGCAGAUUCUUGCUUCGUAUAGGGUUCAGCAGAAACCAGUGAAUGAUGGGUACGUUUGCACUAAAAAUACAAUUUUUGUUAGCAUCUACUUGGUCAACUCGUCGAUAAUUAAUUUACACCCACCAUAAUCCAACAUUUUCCUCAAUGACCAACCACCCUAGUAUCGACUCCCCGUGCCAACUCGUCUCGCCAGAUACAAUACAUUAUUACUCUGGCACUAUAAGUUGAACCCCAGAAUAUACCCUUGCCUAAAAAUUACUUAAUUUUGACUUUGUUUAAAAAUGAAGAAUUUUUUGAAACACAAAUCUUUAGAAGUAAGUUUUCGGAAUAUUAUUUUCCCAGAAAAUAUUUCCCAUCACCUGACUAUUGCAAUUUUUUCCUGAAAAUUGGUGAAAAAUAUCUUCCACUACCGACGUUUUGUCAUUUUUCCAGAAAUCAUGUUAUAUUUUAGAGAAAUUUUCCUCCCACAAUAAAUAUUUCAAAUUCCAGAAAGUACACAAGCCUACAAAUUUUUUCCAUAAGUUUUGACUAUAAGCAGAAGUCGAGUCUUAAGAAAAGCCAGGUUUUUAUAACUUCUUUUCUGAACUUCUUUUGCUUUUAUUAGGGGCUUCAUUUCUUUUGCCAAACAGCCAACGAAAAAGAGGAAGUGAGCUUCUAGGCUUUUAAGCUCAGAAGCUUCAUUCCCAAACAUCCACAACAUCAUCUUUAAAAUGAUAUGGGACAAGUAGAAAAUUGUGAUUGGGUGAUUGAUGUAUAUACAAGAGGUCUCAUUCUUAUUGGAGUGAAUGCAACAAAUUAGGUUUCGACACAUCAUUUGAGAAAAUAAUAUGAGAUAACAGGUUGAGGCAGUACUUAGCAUUUUCCACCGAUGUGUUUCUACAAUCAUAAAAGAACUAAUACAAUCAUGUACUCUCGUUAUGUCAUUUAAAAUCAUUCCCGUCAUCAAAACUUCGAUAAAUGAUCCUAUACAUGAUUUCCUAUUCCAUUUUCUCGUUUUGACCUUAUCCUAAUUACGGACUUCAGAAAUCAGAAGUCCAUUUUCUAGUUGCACAGAUCUAUAAUAAUUUUAAAAUUAUCUCAAUUUUGUAAUUCUCUCUAUAUAACCAUAGAGAUUGCAAUCACUUGAUAUGGAUGGGUGUGUGUAAAAAGAAAAGAAUUUAUCACAGAGUAAUAUGAUGCCAACCAUUUAACAAUUAUAACAUUUUUAGCCUAGCUUUCGCAGAACCAUUUGCGAAAAUGAAUUUAUCUAAGAGUAAUAUGAUGCAUCAAAUAUUUACAAUGAGAGCAAGUUAUUAUUGCUUGUUAACUACUCACAAAUAAAAAUGACAGAAUACAGUAAUGUAACAUACCUCAUUCAAAUUUCCUUAACAUCACUGUGUACUGUGUUACGUUACUGUUACUCUCAUCAAUCAAGGCCAUUUAUUUGUUUGAUAUGUUGGAUUUUGGACCAUUCCGGCCCACUUCCCUUCUUAUAUCUUUCUUCUAUUAUAGGAGAUCCAUAUAUUUCCAGGAACUGAAAUUUGUCAUGGAAUUUUGGCAAGCUCUCCAAGUUUCCACAACGUAUGAUAGAUAACCGCUCCAGAAAUGGAAGCUUUGCCAGUGAAAUGGGAAGAGAUUUCACUCCUUUAAAACUGUCUAUGCGUAAUUGACGCAAUGCAGGGAAGAUGGAGGUGAGAUAAUCAUCAGGUUGCCUUUCAUCCACUAUCCACUUUAGCUUUUCCCACCCCCACACUGUUAGGUUGAUUAGAUUGGGAAAUGAAAAGGAUAAGGGCCAUGGGAAUUCAUCUAAAUUCUCCGAGAAGGGGCCUAAUUCCAAUCUUUCAAUUGUAGAACUCACACUUUGGGCAAACACCACAUAGUUCGGACAUCUCGAAACAGAAAGAUCUUUUAGACCAUCCGACCCUUUGAUAACAUUAAUAGUAUUCAGGUCAUGCAAAUCAUGUACCCUCAAUCCUCAAAGUUUCCAAAGUCACAGAAUUGUUUUUCAAGAGCUCGCCCAUUAUGCAGUUCAUACUUGAAGAAGAAGAGGAGGAGGAAGAGCAUCCUACCCCGCCACUGAUAUUCAGGAGUUGUCAAUCUGUGAGACCACAUGCCUUUGUGCUUAUUGAUUCCAGUAGCUUGCUCCUGUCCUAUUUCUCCUCAUCUUUUUCCCUGCGAUUUUCUCUAUAGUAGAUAUUUAACAUGCAGAAAAUUAGAGUUACAUGGAAGAAAUAUGAAUUUAUUUUAUGUGCUAAGCAGUCGAGAAUUAGAAGUUCAGAAGCUCUAAUUUUAGUGUUAUUAUAUAACAAAGAUUUGCUAAGUAAAGAAAUUGCUAAACAUACAGUAGUAAGAGCAUCUCCAACCAUCUAAAGCCCUUGGCUAAAAGAUGAGUUGGCUUACUUAAAAUAAAAAAAUUUAGUCAACAGCUCCAAAAACUCAACUCCAACCAUGCUCACCUGUUGUCUGUAAAUUUAGCCAACCUCCUAUGGAUGGCUAAAUUUGUCGAACCUCUACAGGUCUGUAAGAAAAUCUGUAGGAAGAUUGUACAUCAUUUAUUACCAUAUUGAACUGAUAUAUUCUAUUUUAACAAUUUAAAAUAUUAAUAACAUACUAUUUUUAAAUUAUAGCCAACCAAUAUAUCCCGUUCCAUUGAAGCAAAAUGUCUUGCAGGUUCAGCAAAUUUUACAUAAUGUCUUACAGGUUCAAUUUAGCCAACGAUUAUAGCGAACGCCGUUGGAGAUGCUCUAAUCCGUAACCUGUAAAUACAAGUUUAUUAUCUAAAAGAACAAAGAGAUAAAUAUCACAUAAUUAACGUGGCAUCCUCUGCACGUCCUCCAGCCAUGUCUGAUAUGCUAUCUUUGCGGGUGAAUAUGACUGUCAUGACAUUACUCUCAUCAAUCAAGCCCAUCUAUUUGUUUGAUGUGUUGGAUUUUUGACCAUUCCGGCCCACUUCCCUUCCUGUAUCUUUCUUUUAUUAUAGGACAGUUAAAUAUAUUCAGAAACUGAAAGUUGUGAUGGAACUUUGGUAAACUCUCCAAAUUUCCACAACUCUCAAUAUAUAACCUUUCCAGAAAUGGAAGUUUUUCUAGUGAAAUGGGAAGAGUUUUCACUCCUUCAAACCUCCUUAUACUCAAAUCACGCAAGGCAGGGAAGAUGGAGGUGAGAUAAUCAUCAGGCUGCCCUUCAUCCACUAUCCACUCUAGCUUUUCCCACCCCCACAAUGUUAGCUUGAUUACAUUCGGAAAAGAAAAGGAUAAGGGCCAUGGGAAUUUAUCUAAAUCCUCCGAGGAGCGUCCUAAUUCCAAAAUUUCAAUUGUUGAACUCACACUUGAGGCAAACACCUCAUAGUUCGGACACCUCGAAAUAGAGAGAUCUUUUAGAGCAUCCGACCCUUUGACAACAUUAAUAGUAUUCAGCUCUAGCAAAUUAGUCAAUCUUAAGCUCUUUAAACCUGCACCAAGUGUCAGGUAUGUCAAUCCCUGUAACUUUCCUACACACAAAGUUUCCAAAGACACAGAAUUGUUUUUCAAGAGCUCGCCCAUUAUGAAGUUCAUACUCGAAGAAGAGGAGCAUCCUACUCCGCCACUGAUAUUCUGGAGUUGUAAAUCUUUGAGACCGCAUGCCUUUUCGCUCAUUGAUUCCAGUAGCUUGCUGCUGUCCAAGUCUGUGAUAUGCAGUGUCUUCAUCAAUGGAUAACAACUACCCGGAAUCCUUGUCAACUUUGGACAUUCUAGAAUCCGUAACUCCUCGAGUUUAGGAAAUACUAGCACAUUAUCCAUAGCUGGGUCUUGCCAUUCUUCUAGAUUUGGCAAAAUGCGUAAAUGAAGAUUUUUCAAUGACGGAUACAUUGUUGCAACUGUUUCUUCUUCCCCAUUUUCACCACUAAUGCUACUUUGACUUCCACAUAAAUGGCUCCUGAUAACCUUGACGUUAUCCAUCCCCUCUAUCCAGAUCUUCCUCAAUUUAGGAAGAUGACCCAGCUGUGGAAACUCUUCACAUCUUUUGCAAUUGUCAAAUGUGAUCACUUCCAAGUUUAUCAUCAUUAUAAUCCAAGUUGCAAACUUCUUUCCCCAAAAGAUCUCAACAGCCAAUUCUUUUAGAUUUGUGUGAGGUUGUAAUCCUUCCAUCACAUCCUCAUGGUUGUUUUCUUUUUCUUCCAUCACAUCUAUAUUCCAGCUCCAGACUAACUUUAAAUGCUCAAUAUUAGAUUUUGUAUGCAAACUCGCCUUUCUUGCUUCUUCCAUAUUCUCUACAUCAUUAAGCCCAUAAAUCUUCAGAGUACCUUGAAGAUUUUUUAAACUUCCCAAUUGUCCGAUAAGACACUGAUGAUCUCUACUCACAACAUAUUGAGGCAGUGUUUGAAGACAAGUUAACCUCUCUAUCUUAGAAAACAUGUCCGAACUCCCCAACUCAACGUCAUGAACGACAAGAAUAUGUCUUAAAUUGAUUAAGUUGCAAAUCUUUCUUGGAAGCUGUGUUGUAAUCCAAACGCUCAAUGUCUGCAAGUUGUAGAGUCUCGUGAAGUAAUCAGGCAAUUUAUAAAUAAUGCCGAAAUUUGAGAUAUCCAAAUACUUAAGAUACUUCAGAUUGCUCAAUGAAUUUGGCAACUCACCCCUUAAGCUAUGUUUUAGAACCAAACCAAUCAAGUGACUGGGGUAAGGCACCAAGUCGUUGACGAUGUAGGCCUCUGCGUACAAUACUUGUACUUUCUCAAACUUUCUCUUAAGAAUGGGUGGUUUAAUAUUCGAAAUCCCUUCAUCAACCCUCACAUAUAUGGCGUUGGAAAUAUGGUUUAACUCAUGAUCAGCCUCCACAGUUACAGAAUGAUUUUUAGAAAGAUCUAGUGCUAGAUCGUGCACUAGAUCAUGCAUCUUGCAACUGGUACCAUAUUUAUUCCUUCUCACAUCUUGUAACAAACAAUUCCACACCAAUAUGUUAAAGUAUUCGCUCCCAACGUCUUCCAUGAGAAUAUUGCUACCUUUAGGAGGCAAAAGGAAUCCUAAUGCCAUCCAUAUACGUAUCAUUUCAUUUUUCCAAACAGUAGAAUCCUUUGGCAAAAUUGAACAAUAUGUAAAACAUUUUUUUAGAGAAGAAUAAGGUAGAUUAUCAUAAGACAGUCUCAAGGAAGACAAUACACCAUCCGAAUUCCACCUUGGAUUAUUUUGAAUCCCCCUAGUGUCUUUAUUGCCAAAGGCAGGCCACCACACCUUUCCACCAUUCUUUUUCCCAUGGCCGUAAAUUUUGGCGUUUCUAAAACUCCUCCUGGUGAAAAUGCUCUUCGCUUGAACAAUUCCCAACUAUCUUCUUCUGAUAAUUUGCCCACCUUAUAAGAAAUAACACUUCGCAUGGCAUUAACGACUUCCUGUUUGCGAGUAGUAACUAAAAUCUUGCUUCCACUCGCUCCACGAACACCGAGCAAGGAAUUCCUUAAGUUAUCCCACUCCUCUGGUCUCUCAUUCCAGACAUCAUCUAAGACGAGUAAAAACUUUACCCCGCUUAGAGAGUUUUGAAGUUUUUUAAUGACGCCUUCUGGAUUUUCUAUCGAGGAGGCAGUUGAAGUGAGUGAAGCUACCAUUUGAUUUAAAAUCUUCAUGAAAUCAAAAUCAUCUGAGACAGAGACCCAGAUCCUCUCGGUGAACAUAUCAGUUACAACAUCUCUAUUGUAAACCAUACGAGCAAGAGUUGUUUUGCCUUGACCUCCCAUCCCCAUUACAGCAAUUACUGGUAAAUCCUCCGCAUGAUUUGUGCACACUGUUUCGACCAAAAAUGAUAUAUCAUCCUCUCUUCCAACUAUCUGUGACUCAUCUUCACAGGGGGGAGUAUUGCGGAUUUCCCUGGGCUGCACAGUACUAGUUAACUGCGCCACAGGCUGAAGCCCGAGUUUUCCAGCCCAUUCAAAAAUUUUGUCGAAAGAAGAAUUGAUAGACUUGAUCUUUUGAGCAACUUUAAAACGAUAAAGUAUGCUAUUCUUAGUAGAAAACAAGUCCCUCAACGUACUGCGAUUUUCAACCUUUCGCCGAGUGAUUUCAUAAGCAAGUUGAUCCAUGAAAGCAUCAGCUACACGAGCAACAGCCUCCAGUUUGCUGAACCAGCUCUGGACAGCAGACAGCUUUAGUCUUUUGCUAUCAGCAUCGGACAAGAGAGCAUUAAUCUCUUCCAACCUUUCUUGCAGCGUUACCAGAUCUUCCUGAAGAUUCCAAGCCUGGAUCAAUUCUUCAGCUGCAAGUGAAACAAGCCUGAAAACCAGGCCACUAGCAAGAUCAACUACCAAUGCAUCAGCCAUCUUUAUGAGCACAGGAAAAGAAAUGUUUGUAAUGUAUGGAGAUUAUAAUUUGAUACAGUGUAAUACAAGUUCAAUUACAAUGUAAGAAUACAGAUUCUUGGCCCGAAUAAGCAGGGGCGGUCCUGGCCCAGUGCAGCCAGUGCCCCCGCACUUGGCCCACUGGAGUCGAGGGCCCAAAAUAAAGUUCACAGUUAAGAUGGCCUGAUGAGUGAUGCAGCCAUCCCAUGCAGAGUUUUAUAUGUAUUUCAGUUUUUAUCACCUACGUUUCAGACUUUCUGUUGCUAGUAAUCAGUCCUACUUAAUUUAAAAUUUAUUUUAUACUUUUUAUUUAUUUUAAUUAAUUUGGACAUGUAAAUUCAAUUAAAACUUACGUGCUUAUUCUGCAUAAUUAUUAAUUUUAUAGCGAAUGCUUAUCAAUAAUGUCCUCAUAUAACACACUAUAGAAAAAUUAAAAUUUUAAUUACUAUAAAAGAAUUUUAAGGUUUUUCAUUGUAUCAUUUGAUUUCCUCUUAUUUCUUGUUCUAUUUUUCAUUUCUCUAAAGUAAGACUUUUAUGCAGUUCAUUAUUCUUUUUAUCCAAACUUUAGCAUUAUCAUUUAAUCAUCCUUACCAAUUUUUUGAGUUUCAUAAUAAUUUUGCUAAUUCAUAUUUAUUUGAUAUGAAUUAUAUAUUAAUUUGAAUUUAAAUGUGAGUAAUACUUUUAAAUAAGUUAAAAUAUGAUUAAUCUAUUUUAUAAAAGGGCCCAAAAUUAUUUUUCGCGCCGGGCCCUAUAAUCCUCAGGACCGGCCCUGCGAAUAAGGUUUGCAUUAAAAAUUCAACUUGCCCAAUUAAUUAACAUAUUUCCCAGUACCCUAGUACCGACACCCAGUGGCAACUCCCAUACAUUACCACUACCUCUAGCACUAAAAGUUAAACCCGAGGUAAUGAAAAAUACAAUCCAUUUGUUUCUUUCAUUUCUUAUGACUUAGCCUGGUCUUUGUGAUCAUGCUCCUACUCACAUGUCCACGGCUGAGCAUUGUAGAAAGUCGAGCCUUGUGGUCAAUCACGCUAAUGAAUGUGAUCAAGCACGUGACAGAGCUGGCUCUAUUAGCGUGGCAACUCCAAUAUAACCCCUAGCAGCUAGCACUGUAAGUUAAACCCGAGGAAAUAAAAAAUACAAUCCGCGUGGUCCUUUCAUUUCUUACGACUUUCCACUUUUUUAUCUCCUUAUUUUUUGUCUCAAAAUAACUUGACUUUCCACUGUUAAAGAGGAGAACCUGAAUUCAUUUUCCAGAAAUCAUGUCACAGAUAUAUUUUUUUUCCUUGAACUAAGCAAGUGUGGGAAAAUAUAUCCCAGAAAUUUUUGCUUUAAACCAUGAAAAUAUUUUUUUAGGAUAUUAAAAUACGCUAGGAAAAAAGAGCAUCAAUAGUUUCCAACCUUUCUUGCAGCGUUACCAGAUGUUCCUGAAUGUUAAGCCUGGAUCACUUGUUCAGUUGCAAGUGAAACAAGCUUGAAAAGCAGGCCACUAGCAAGAUCAGCUACCAAUGCAUCAGCCAUGUUUAUGAGUAUAGCUGUUUAGUAAAACAAAUGUUUGUAAUGUAUGGAAAUGUAUAGCAGAUUACAAUGAAAUAAUAUUGCAGAUUCUUGCUUCGAACUGGGUUGAGCAGAAGCCAGUGAAUGAUGGGUAGGGUAGUUAAAUUACAAGUUAAAAUGCAAAUUUCAAUGUGUAGUAAUGCAGAUUCCAAAGAUUUUCGCCAGAAACGAGUGAAUAUUUGCAUUAAAAAUUCAAUUUUUGCCAAUUAAUUAAUACUAAUCUCCCAGUACCCUCCAACUCCAAUACAUUACCUCUAGCACUAGCUAUAAGUUAUCCCUGAGGAAAUAAGAAAUACAAUUCACGUGAUCCUUUCAUUUCUUAUGACUUUCCACUUUUAUAUUUCCUUAUUUUUUGUCUCAAAAUAAUUUGAUUUCCAUUAUUAAUUAAAGCGGAGAAUGUGAAGUCAUUUUCCAGUCUCCAGAAAUCAUGUCAUAUAUUUCAGAGAAAUUAUUCUAGGAUAAUAAAUAUUUUACUUUCUAGGAACUAAACAUAAAACAAGUGCAGGAAAAUAUCAUAAGUUUAUCUAUGCACCAGCUCUCCCUUUGGACAUUCUGGUAUGUAGGUUGGAGUAGUAGGUUGAAUGCAUUGCAUCUAAUAAAUCCUCCCAGAAGGGUCCUAAUUCCAGAUAUUUUAGACCAUAUAUCCAACCCUUUAAUGACAUUAAUAGUAUUCAGGUCAGGCAAAUCAUGCACACUCUUUAAGCCUACGUCAGGUGUCAAGUAUGUCGAUCCCCGUAACUUAUAAGUAAUCCUUAAUAUUAAAUUAAAAUCAUUAAUCUAUCAAAUUUUUUAAAAUCAAUAAUCUAUCAAAUUUAUUUUAUUAAUAUUUUAGUAACUUAUAAGUACUCCAUAAUAUUAAAUUAAAAUCAAUAAUCUGUCAAACUUUCUAUUAUUAUUAUGUUAAUAACUCGGAAAUCAUCUAUAAUACUUAAUUAUCCAAACAGACAUUUUAAGCGAGGCACUUACUACAAGAGCAUCUCCAAUGAGGAUCUUAAAUCACUCUUUAAAAUAUAAUAUAAUAUGUGGCUCAUACUGAGUUAAGAUAUUAAAAAAAGAUGACAACUCUUAUCUAUACUUGCUCCUUAUUCAUAUUUUAUUCCUACAAAUGAGAGGGAAAGUACAAAAACAGAAAUGUUGGAGAUAAAAUUGGAAGAAAAUUAAUAUUAUAUUCAUAAAUAAAAAGCUAAGAGCUACUAGAUGCUCUUUAAAGAGAGGAAAAAUGCCGGCUCUUACAUUUUUAAAGAGUUUUCAGGAGCCCAGUCGAGCUCUAAUUUUCAUCUUACUCUUUAAAUUUGAAAUUAAAAGCUUGUUUAGAGAGUCUGUUGAAAAUACGAGGCAUACCCAUAUAUUGAAGGAUGAAGGCUGGUGCACCAUUUGCGAAAUGAAUUAAGUAUUUGGUAAAAUUCAAAUGUAGGAGUAAUAUAUAUGAUGCAUCAAAUAUUUAUCAUGAGACCAUGAGUAAAAUUAACUUGACAUAUACGUAUUAUUUUAUCAACUUCAACGAAAUAACGAAUGUCUUUUAUUAUUUCUUAACUAUUAUAUUGCAUGAUUAGAUGUCAAAGUGCAUGAUAAUUGCCUCGCUUGAUUCGUAUUUAGAAUAGAGCAAGUUUAUUAUGUGUUGUUAACUAACAAAUAACAAUGAUAGAAUACAGAAAUGUAACAGACCUCAUUCAAAUUUUCUUAACAUCACUGUAUGACGUUACUCUCAUCAGCCGAGCCCCACUAUUUGUUUGAUGUGUUGGAUUUUGGACCAUUCCGGCCCACUUCCCCUCCUGUAUCUUUCUUUUAUUAUAGGACAUCCAAUUAUAUCCAGGUACUGAAAGUUGUGAUGGAACUUUGGCAAACUCUCCAAAUUUCCACAAUUCCAAAUAUAUAAACUCUCCAGAAAUGGAAGCUUUGCUAGUGAGAUGGGAAGAGAUUUCACUCCUUUAAAACUGUCUAUCCAUAAUUGACGCAAGGCAGGGAAGAUGGAGGAGAGAUAAUCAUCAGGUUGGCCUUCAUCCACUAUCCACUUUAGCUUUUCCCACCCACUCACUGUUAGCUUGAUUACAUUGGGAAAAGAAAAAGACAAAGGCCAUGGGAAUUCAUCUAAAUCCUCUGAGAAUGGUCCUAAUUCCAAUCUUUCAAUUGUACAACUCACACUUUGGGCAAACACCUCAUAGUUCAGACACUUCGAAAUGGAAAGAUAUUUUAGAGCAUCCGACCCUUUGACAAUAUUAAUAGUAUUCAGGUCUGGCAAAUCACUCACACAUAAACUCUUUAAACCUGCGCCGAGUGUCAAAUGUGUCAAUCCCUGUAACUUUAUUACCCUCAAAGUUUCCAAAGAGACAGAAUUGUUUUUCAAGAGCUUGCCGAUUAUGCAGUUCAUACUUGAAGAAGAACAAGAUGAGGAGGAGGAGCAUCCUACUCUGCCACUGAUAUUAUCGAGGUAUACACCUGUGAGGCCGCAUGCCUUUUCGCUCAUUGAUUCCAGUAGCUUGCUGUUGUCCAAGUCUUUGAUCUUCAGAGUCUUCAUCAACGGAUAACAACUUCCCGGAAUCCUUGUCAACUUUGGACAUCCCCAAAUAAUUAACUCCACGAGUUCAGAAAAUGCUAGCACAUUAUUUCGGUCUUCAUCGCUUGUAUCCGUGGCUGGGUCUAGCCAUUCUUCUAGCUUUGGCAUAUUGUUUAAAGAAAGAUUUUUCAAUGACGGAUACAUUGUUAAAACUGUUUCUUCUGCCCCAUCAUCAUUUAACUCACCACUAAUGCUACCCUGUCUACCUCCACAUAAAUGGCUGCUUAUAACCUUGACGUUAUCCAUCCCUUCUAUAUCGAUCAUCCGCAAUUUAGGAAGAUGACCCAGCUGUGGAAACUCUUCACAUCUGUUGCAAUUUAUGAAGGUGAUAACUUCCAAGUUUGUCAUGAUUGUAAUCCAUGCUGCAAACUUCUUUCCCAUAAAGUUCUCAACAAUCAAUUCUCUUAGAUUUGCAUGAGGUUCUAAUCCUUCCAUCACAUCCUCAUGGUUGUUUUCUUUUUCUUCCAUCACAUCUUUAUUCUUUCUCCAGUCUAACUGUAAUCGCUCAAUAUUCGAUUUUGUAAGCAAACUCGCCUUCCUGGCUUCUUCCAUAUUCUCUACAUCACUAAGGCCAUAAAGCGUCAGAGUACCUUGAAGAUUUCUUAAACUUCCCAGUUGUCCAAUAACACAUUGAUGAUCUCUACUCACAAUAAAAAAAGGCAGCGUUUGGAGACAAGUUAACCUCUCUAUCCGAGAAAACACAGUGAUGAUGUCCGAAUUCUCAAAGUCGUAGUAAGGCGCAUCGACCAGAAUAUGUCUUAAAUUGAUUAAGUUGCAAAUAUUUCUUGGAAGCUGUGUUACACUCCGAACGCUCAAUGUCUGCAAGUUGUAGAGUCUCGUAAUGUAAUCAGGUAAUUUAUUCUUAGUCAUGUAGCAUCUUGAGAUAUCCAGAUACUUAAGAUACUUCAGAGUGCUCAAUGAACUUGGCAACGGAUCAUCUUCGAAGGUUCCUUCGAGAACCAAACCAAUUAAGUGACUGGGGUAAGGCACCAAGUCCUUGACGAUGGGAGCAUCUGCGUAUAAUACUUGUACUUUCUCAAAAUUUCUCUUAAGAAGGGGUGGCUUAAUAUUUGUAAUCCCUUUAUCAACCUUCACAUAUAUGGCCUUGGAAAUAUCGUUUAACUCAUGACCAUCAGCCUUCACCGUUGCAGAAUGAUUUCUGGAUAGAUCUAGUGCUAGAUCAUGCACCAGAUCAUGCAUCUUGUAAUCACGUAUGUCGCCAUUUUGUAACAAACAAUUCCCCAACAAUAUGUUAAAGUAUUCCCUCCCUAUAUCUUCCAUAAGCUUAUUGCUACCUUUAGGGGGCAAAAGGAAUCCUAAUGCCAUCCAUAUACGUACCAUUUCAUCUUUUGAGAUACGAGAAUCCUUUGGCAAAAUUGAACAAUAUGCAAAACAUUUCUUUAGAGAAGAAUGAGGUAGAUUAUCAUAAGACAACCUCAAGGAAGGCAAUACAUCAUCGUUCGAAUCCCACGUUGCACUAUCUUGAAUCCGCAACCACUCUUGCUCAGACUUCUUAGAGUGCAGUAAACCCCCUAGUGCAUUUAUUGCCAAAGGCAGGCCACCACACCUUUCCACCAUUUCUCUUCCCAUGGCAGCAAAUCUCGCCGUCUCUAUGACUCCUCCUCGUGAAAAUGCUCUUCGCUUGAACAAUUCCCAGCUAUCUUCUUCUGAUAGUUUCUCCACCCUAUGAGUAAUAAAACAGCGCAUGACAUCAACGACUUUCUGUUUGCGAGUCGUAACUAAAAUCAUGCUUCCACUCGCUCCACCAACCCCGAGCAAGGAAUCCCUUAACUUAUUCCACUUCUCUGUUCUCUCAUUCCAGACAUCAUCUAAGACGAGUAAAAACUUUACGUCCCUUAGAAAGCUUUGAAGUUUCUUAAUGAGUCCCUCUGUAUUUUCCAACACCGAAGCAGUUGAAGUGAGUGAUGCUACCAUUUGAUUUAAAAUUUUCAUGAAAUCAAAGUCAUCCGAUACAGUGACCCACAUCCUCUUCUUGAACAUAUCGGUUACAACAUCUCUGUUGUAAACCAUACGAGCAAGAGUUGUUUUGCCUUGACCUCCCAUCCCCAUUACAGCAAUGACUGGUAAAUCCUCUGCAUGAUUUGUGCACACUGUUUUGACUAAAAAUGAUAUUUCAUCAUCUCUUCCAACUAUUAGUGACUCGUCUUCAAAGGGGGGAGUAUUGCGGAUUUCCCUGGCCUGCACAGUAGUAGUUAAUUGCGCCAAAGUCCCAGAUCUCUGGCCAAUUGAAAAAUUUUGUCGAAAGAAGUAUGGAUAGACUUGAUCUUAUGAGCAACCUUAAAACGAUAAAGUAUGCUCUUCUUCGUAGAAAAAAAGUCCCUCACCUUACUACGAUUUUCAACCUUUUGCCGAGUGACUUCGUAAGCAAGUUCAUCCAUGAAAGCAUCAGCUACAUGAGCAACAUCCUCCAGCUUGUUGAACCAGCUCUGGACAGCAGACAUGUUUAGCCUUUUGCUAUCAGCAUCGGACAAGAGAGCAUCAAUAGUUUCCAACCUUUCUCCCAGCGUUACCAAAUCUUCCUGAAGAUUCCAAGCCUGGAUCAAUUCUUCAGCUGCAAGUGAAACAAGCUUGACAACCAGGCCACUAGCAAGAUCAGCCACAAAUGCAUCAACCAUGUUUGUAUAGCUGUAUAGGAAAAGAAAUGUUUGUAAUGUAUGGAGAUUAUAAUUUGAUACUCCAGAACUUCCAAUGCGUUGAAGUUAAGUAACAAUGAAAUAAUGCAGAUUCUUGGCCCGAAUACAAUUUGCACAAAAAAUACAAUUUGUGUCAGCAUCAACUCGUCAACUGAAUCAACUACCCUUGCCAACUAAUCUCACCAACUCCAGUACAUUACCUCUAGCACUAUAUAUAAGUUAAUGCCCAGGAAAUUAAAAAUGACCAUCCGUCUACCCCUGCUUAUUGGUUUGUUUCUUGUGACUUUCCAUUUUCUUAUUUCCACAUUUUUUUGCCCAAAAAUAAAUUGAUUUUCCAGAAACUAAGAACCAACUCCGCCGUGAAAAGCCCUUAGACUAUAAAUUGAGUUAGAUGCCAAAAAUAAAAAAAUAUAGAUAAUUUUUUUAAAACUCACUCAAAACAUAUAUGUAACUGCCACAUCAUCAAUUACCAUAUUAAAAAAAUACAUUUUAUUUAUAAUAAUUUCAAAAUAAUAAUAUAUUAUUUUUAAAAUAUAACCAAUCAAUAUUAUCGAAAUAAAAAGUUUUACAGCUUGAGCAAAUUUUACAUAAUGUUUCAAUUUAGCCAAACAUAUAACCGACCUAAUUAGAGAUGCUCUCAACAAGCGUUGAACAUAUUUUUCAAAAGUUUUGAUUUUGAACAAUAAAAAUAUUUUUAAGAAUCAAUACCCUUUAUUAAUAAGCGAAACCACGUUUCAGUUGAACAUCAGUACGAAAACACCAAAAUUUGGUCAUCAUAUAUUAUAUUUAAUUAUUAUUAUUAUAUCAUUAUUAUACUCCUAUUAAAAGUAUUAUACUCCAAUUAAAAGAUAUAAGACAUAUAUAUUGUUCAGGACUUUUUUACAUAACAAUUAUUCAUGAUAUCAUUCUAUCCCAAUAUAACUAAAUAUUUUAAUUUAGGGUAAGAAGGGUAGUUUAUAAACAGAGAUAUUACUCGAAGUGAAGGUACUCUAAUUAGUAUAUUGUUCAUUUAAACAUUAUAUGUAAUUUUUCGAGUUUUUUGAUUCAUAUAUAUAUGUAUAUUUUAUCUGGUUCUUUAGUUUUGUGAUCAAUUUAUUGUCCAUAUAUAAUACUCUUGCACGAGUCCAUAUAUACAAAUGAAAUUCUUACUUCGCUGCAAUAAACAUGGGUAUUUAUGAUGGAUAACUUAUUACGAAAAAGGUGGGCGCACAUAAUUAACUUAUAAUGGAAAGACAAAAUCGUCAAAUGAUAUAAUACAAACAUAUGACAGACACAGCUCCCGUCGUAUUAUAAGAUGUGUGUAAUAAAAUUUUAGCACUAACAGAUAAAAUAGCAAUAAUAUUAUUUCACGCAUCAAAAUCGUCGCAAGUUCGCGUCGUAAUAUUGCUGAAGACCAAGUUAAAUGUCGUUCUAAAAGCGUUGUCUUAAAAAAAUGCGCGGUCCAAAUAAAUAUGAUAGCUUUUACCGUAAUAUAUACAAAUGAUAGUCCAACUCUUAUAAUUAUAAAUCCAAAAUCAGCCCUCCACAACUUACGACCGUAUUUUUGUCGUAAUAUCAAUGAUACUACCGUCGAACCUAUCAUCGUAAAAUCUAUUCCAAAAAGUGAGUGAGGGUCCCAUAUAUUACUAACGACGACAAUUUUGUCGUAAAAUACUAUAACUAACGAUAGUAUAUUUGUCGUAAAUAUAUUGGUCCCACAGUAAUAAGGGUAAUGAAUUCUAUUUUUAUUUAUUAAAAAGUUUUGAAGACACGUAUUAUUUUUAUUUCUUAGUCUUUUUUAGUAAAAAAUGCUUUGCUUAUACUUUCUUACUACACGUGGUUGAUAACAAUGCUUGCAACUUCAAAAUAUAUAACAUUUAUCAAUAGUUUAAUUUCAAAAGUUUAUAUUAAUUAAUCCAAAUGUAAGUGUCACUUAUUUCUUUUAUUUAUUAAAUGUAUCAAAGACCAAUCUCUAAUAAGAAGAUAUGAAGAAUGUGAAUUAACUAUCUUGCAAUAUUUGAUUAUCCACGUAACUACAUAAUAAUAAAGUGUACAUGUCUAUAUACCUAUCAUUAUACGUAGAUACAGUCAUUCAGACUUAUUUAUUUAGUUUAACGUAUAAUUUAAAAUUCUAUUAAUAUAAUGUCCAGAUUGACGUAUAAUGUUGAGUUUGAUGAAUAAUUUCACUUUAAUGUUCUUGACAUAUAAUAAACUUAAAUAUUACAAAAUUAUGUCUAACAUAAAAUUUUCGACCUAAUUUGUAUGUGAAAAUUAAAAUAUUAUUUAGUAUCAAAUUUAUUUUGAAAUAAUAAUAAACAAACAAUAAAUAAUUGACGCCCGUGCGCGGAACGUAAUACUCUGUCUCCUAAUAAUAGUGGGACGAUGCAUUCUCAGAGCAUGUUACCUGGCUCAAUGCUGAACGCGGGCCUCUAUUUUAAACUAAUUAAAUCAAUUUGUGAUAUAUACUAUGAUUGAUAGAUCAAAUCAUCACAGAUGACAAAACUAUCUUCUAAUAUGUGUGUUCUGUAGAAAAAGGAAGGAUAGAAUUUCAGACCGCAUGCAUUGAUGCUAACCAAGAUUUAAAAACACUCAAGACAAUAGUUUUGAUCAAUAUUGGUAAGGUUGUCUAACAAACCACUAUUAAUGCUGAGGAUCUAAACUUCUUCUGUUUAAAGUUUUUGUUUUUCUAUCUCUCUUUAUAUACUAAUAUAGGACAAUCAAGCCCAAAUAUUUGUUUGAUGUGUUGGAUUUUGGACCAUUCCGGGCCACUUCCCUUCAUGUAUCUUUCUUCUAUUAUAGGACAGUCAAAUAUCAUCAGGUACUGAAGAUUGUCAUGGAACUUUAGCAAACUCUCCAAAUUUGCACAACCAGUAAUAGAUAAGCUCUCUAGAAAUGGAAGCUUUGCUAGUGAAAUGGGAAGAGAUUUCACUCCUCUAAACAAAUCUAUGUGUAAUUGACGCAAGGCAGGAAAGAUGGAGAAGAGAUAAUCAUCAGGUUUCCCUUCAUCCACUAUCCACUUUAGCUUUUUCCACCCAGUCACUGUUAGCUUGAUUACAUUGGGAAAAGAAAAGGAUGAGGGCCAUGGGAAUUCAUCUAAAUCCUCCGAGAAGUCUCCUAAUUCCAAAGAUUCAAUUGUAGAACUCACAUUUUGGGCAAGCACCUCAUUGUUCGGACACCUCAAAAUAGAAAGAUCUUUUAGAGCAUCGACCAUUUGAUUGUUUUCAGGUCAGGCAAAUCAUGCACACUUAAGCUCUUUAAACCUACUCCAAGUGUCAAGUGUGUCAAUCCUUGUAACUUUCGUACACUCAAAGUUUUCAAAGACACAGAAUUGUUUUUCAAGAGCUCGCCCAUUAUGCAGUUCAUGCUUGAAGAAGAAGAAGAACAUCCCACUCCUCCAUUGAUAUUCUGGAGGAGUACAUCUGUGAGACCGCAUGCCUUUUCGCUCAAUGAUUCCAGUAACUUGCUGCUAUCCAAGUCUGUGAUGUGCAGUGUAUUGAUCAUCAACGGAUAACGUACAACUACUUGGAAUCCUUAUCAACUUUGAACAGCACGAAAUACGUAACACUUUGAGUUUAGCAAAUGCUAGCACAUUAUGUGGGUCUUCACCGCUUGUAUCCAUAACUGGGUCUAGCCAUUCUUCUAGCUUUGGCAAAUCCUGUAAAUCUAAUCUUUCCAAUGACGGAUACAUUGUUGCAAUUGUUUCUUCUGCCCCAUUUUCACCACUAAUGCUACCUUCACCUCCACAUAAAUGGCUCCUUAUGACCUUGACGUUAUCCAUCCCCUCUAUCUCUAUUGUAAAUUAUACGAGCAAGAGUUGUUUUGCCUUGACCUCCCAUUCCCAUUACAGCAAUGACUGGUAAAUCCUCUGCAUGAUUUGUGCACACUGUUUCGACUAAAAAUGAUAUUUCAUCCUCUCUUCCAACUAUCUGUGACUCAUCUUCAAAGGGGGGGAGUAUUGAGGACUUCGUUGAGUAGUCGUUAAAUGCGCCACAGGCUGAAGUCCGAGAUCUCUGGCCAAUUGAAAAAUUUUGUCGAAAGAGGAAUGGAUAGACUUGAUCUUAUGAGCAACCUUAAAACGAUAAAGUAUGCUCUUUUUAGAAGAAAAGAAGUGCUUCAACGUACCAAGAUUUUCAACCUUUCGCCGAGUGACUUCAUAAGCAAGUUCAUCCAUGAAAACAUCAGCUACACGAGCAACAUCCUCCAGUUUGCUGAACCAGCUCUGGACAGCAGACAUCUUUAGCCUUUUGCUAUCCGCAUCGGACAGAAGAGCAUCAAUGGUUUCCAACCUUUCUUGCAGGGUUACCAGAUCUUCCUGCAGAUUCCAAGCCUGGAUGACUUCAUCAGCUGCAAGAGAAACAAGCUUGAAAACCAGGCCACUAGCACAGAUAAAGAAAUGUUUGUAAUGUAUGGAGAUUAUAAUUUGAUACAGUGUAAUAGAAGUUAAAUUACAAUGUAAGAAUACAGAUUCUUGGCCCGAAUAAGGUUCGCAUUAGAGUUUAGAAAUCAAUUAACAUUUUUCCCAGUACCCUAGUACCGACACCCAGUGCCAACUCCCAUACAUUACCACUACCUCUGGCACUAAAAGUUAAACCCGAGGUAAUGAAAAAUACAAUGCGCUUGGUUCUUUCAUUUCUUAUGACUUAGCCUGGUCUUUGUGAUCAUGCUCCUACUCACAUGUCCGCGGCUGAGCAUUGUAGAAAGUCGGGCCUUGUGGUCAAUCACGCUAAUGAAUGUGAUCAAGCACGUGACAGAGCUGGCUCUAUUAGCGUGGCAACUCCAAUAUAACCUCUAGCAGCUGCACUGUAAGUUAAACCCGGGGAAAUAACAAAUACAAUCCGCGUGGUCCUUUCAUUUCUUACGACUUUCCACUUUUUUAUCUCCUUAUUUUUUGUCUCAAAAUAACUUGAUUUUCCACUGUUAAAGAGGAGAACCUGAAUUCAUUUUCCAGAAAUCAUGUCACAGAUAUAUUUUUUUUCCUUGAACUAAGCAAGUGUGGGCAAAUAUUUUCCAGAAAUUUUUGCUUUAAACCAUGAAAAUAUUUUUUUAGGAUAUUAAAAUACGCUAGGAAAAAAGAGCAUCAAUAGUUUCCAACCUUUCUUGCAGCGUUACCAGAUGUUCCUGAAUGUUAAGCCUGGAUCACUUGUUCAGUUGCAAGUGAAACAAGCUUGAAAAGCAGGCCACUAGCAAGAUCAGCUACCAAUGCAUCAGCCAUGUUUAUGAGUAUAGCUGUUUAGUAAAACAAAUGUUUGUAAUGUAUGGAAAUGUAUAGCAGAUUACAAUGAAAUAAUAUUGCAGAUUCUUGCUUCGAACUGGGUUGAGCAGAAGCCAGUGAAUGAUGGGUAGGGUAGUUAAAUUACAAGUUAAAAUGCAAAUUUCAAUGUGUAGUAAUGCAGAUUCCAAAGAUUUUCGCCAGAAACGAGUGAAUAUUUGCAUUAAAAAUUCAAUUUUUGCCAAUUAAUUAAUACUAAUCUCCCAGUACCCUCCAACUCCAAUACAUUACCUCUAGCACUAGCUAUAAGUUAUCCCUGAGGAAAUAAGAAAUACAAUUCACGUGAUCCUUUCAUUUCUUAUGACUUUCCACUUUUAUAUUUCCUUAUUUUUUGUCUCAAAAUAAUUUGAUUUCCAUUAUUAAUUAAAGCGGAGAAUGUGAAGUCAUUUUCCAGUCUCCAGAAAUCAUGUCAUAUAUUUCAGAGAAAUUAUUCUAGGAUAAUAAAUAUUUUACUUUCUAGGAACUAAACAUAAAACAAGUGCAGGAAAAUAUCAUAAGUUUAUCUAUGCACCAGCUCUCCCUUUGGACAUUCUGGUAUGUAGGUUGGAGUAGUAGGUUGAAUGCAUUGCAUCUAAUAAAUCCUCCCAGAAGGGUCCUAAUUCCAGAUAUUUUAGACCAUAUAUCCAACCCUUUAAUGACAUUAAUAGUAUUCAGGUCAGGCAAAUCAUGCACACUUGAGCUCUUUAAACCUACGUCAGGUGUCAAGUAUGUCAAUCCCCGUAACUUAUAAGUAAUCUUUAAUUAAAUUAAAAUCAUUAAUCUAUCACAUUUUUUAAAAUCAAUAAUCUAUCAAAUUUAUUUUAUUAUUAUUUUAGUAACUUAUAAGUACUCCAUAAUAUUAAAUUAAAAUCAAUAAUCUGUCAAACUUUCUAUUAUUAUUAUGUUAAUAACUCGGAAAUCAUGUAUAAUACUUAAUUAUCCAAGCAUUAAUCCAAACAGAGGCACUUACUACAAGAGCAUCUCCAAUGAGGAUCUUAAAUCACUCUUUAAAAUAUAAUAUAAUAUGUGGCUCCUACUGAGUUAAGAUAUUAAAAAAAGAUGACAACUCCAAUACGCCUUAUUUUAUUCCUACAAAUGAGAGGGAAAAGUACAAAAACAAAGAUGCUAGAGAUAAAAUUGGAGGGAAACUAAUAUUAUAUUCAUAAAUAAAAAGUUAAGAGCUACUCGAUGCUCUUUAAAAGAGAGGAAAGAUGCGGGCUCUCACAUUUUUAAAGAGCUUUUUAGGAGCCAAGUCGAGCUCUAAUUUUUCGUCUUAAUCUUUAAAUUUGAAAUUAAAAGCUUGUUUAGAGAGUACCUUGAAAAUAUGAGGCAUACCCAUAUAUUGAAGGAUGAAGGCUGGUGCACCUCUUUAAAAAGACUCAGAUGUAUUGUUUUAUUAGACUGAAGUUGAAAGCCUUUCUUAAAACCUGCUUAAGUCUAUGAUUCCGAAACUGCAUGAAAGGUAUAUCCAUAUUCCAUAUAUAAAAGAAAGUAAAGUUUUACGUUUAUUAGUAUUGUAUAAAUAUUCAUUCAUUUAAUUAUUAGUUAAAUCAUUUUUGGCCAUGCAUGUUCUCCUAGAAGUAGAACCAUUUGCGAAAUGAAUUAAGUAUUUUGUAAAAUUCAAAUGUAGGAGUAAUAUAUAUGAUGCAUAAAAUAUUUAUCAUGAGACCAUGAGUAAAAUAUAACUUGACAUAUACGUAUUAUUUUAUCAACUUCAACGAAAUAACGAAUGUCUUUUAUUAUUUCUUAACUAUUAUAUUGCAUGAUUAGAUGUCAAAGUGCAUGAUAAUUGCCUCGCUUGAUUCGUAUUUAGAAUAGAGCAAGUUUAUUAUGUGUUGUUAACUAACAAAUAACAAUGAUAGAAUACAGAAAUGUAAAAGACCUCAUUCAAAUUUUCUUAACAUCACUGUAUGACGUUACUCUCAUCAGUCAAGCCCAUGUAUUUGUUUGAUGUGUUGGAUUUUGGACCAUUCCGGUCCGCUUCCCUUCAUGUAUCUUUCUUUUAUUAUAGGACAGCUAUAUAUCUCCAGGUACUGCAAGUUGUGAUGGAACUUUGGCAAACUCUCCAAAUUUCCACAAAGAUCAAUUGAUAAUCUCUCCAGGAAUGGAAGCUUUGCUAGUGAGAUGGGAAGAGAUUUCACUCCUUCAAACACCUGUAUGUCUAAUUGACGCAAGGCAGGGAAGAUGGAGGAGAGAUAAUCAUCAGGUUGGCCUUCAUCCACUAUCCACUUUAGCUUUUCCCACCCACACACUCUUAGGUAGAUUACAUUGGGAAAAGAGAAGGACGAGGGCCAUGGGAAUUCAUCUAAAUCCUCCGAGAAGGGUCCUAAGUCCAAUCUUUCAACUGUAGAACUCACACUUUGGGCAAACACCUCAUAGUUCAGACACUCCGAAAUGGAAAGAUCUUUUAGAGCAUCCGACCCUUUGACAAUAUUAAUAGUAUUCAGGUCUGGCAAAUCACUCACACAUAAACUCUUUAAACCUGCGCCGAGUGUCAAAUGUGUCAAUCCCUGUAACUUUAUUACAGUCAAAGUUUCCAAAGACACAGAAUUGUUUUUCAAGAGCUUGCCGAUUAUGCAGUUCAUACUUGAAGAAGAAGAAGAUGAGGAGGAGGAGCAUCCUACUCCGCCACUGAUAUUCUCGAGUCGUAGAUCUGUGAGACCGCAUGCCUUUUCGCUCAACGAUUCCAGUAGCUUGCUGCUGUCCAAGUCUCCGAUGUCCAGUGUCUUCAACAACGGAUAACAACUUCCCGGAAUCCUUGUCAACUUUGGACAUUCCCAAAUAUAUAACUCCACGAGUUUAGGAAACACUAGCACAUUAUUCGGGUCUUCACCGCUUGUAUCCGUAGCUGGGUCUAGCCAUUCUUCUAGCUUUGGCAAAUGGCCUAAAGAGAGAUUUUUCAAUGACGGAUACAUUGUUAAAACUGUUUCUUCUGCCCCAUUAUCAUUUAACUCACCACUAAUGCUACCUUGUCUACCUCCACAUAAAUCGCUGCUUAUAACCUUGACGUUAUCCAUCCUGUAUAUACUAAUCUCUCUCAAUUUAGGAAGAUGACCCAGCUGUGGAAACUCUUCACAUCUUUUGCAAUUUUUGAAGGUGAUAACUUCCAAGUUUGUCAUGAUUGUAAUCCAUGCUGCAAACUUCUUUCCCAUAAAGUUGCCAACAUCCAAUGCUUUUAGAUUUGCAUGAGGUUCUAAUCCUUCCAUCACAUCCUCAUGGUUGUUUUCUUUUUCUUCCAUCACAUCUUUAUUCUUUCUCCAGUCUAACGUUAAAUGCUCAAUAUUCGAUUUUGUAAGCAAACUCGCCUUCCUGGCUUCUUCCAUAUUCUCUACAUCACUAAGGCCAUAAAGCUUCAGAGUACCUUGAAGAUAUUUUAAACUUCCCAGUUGUCCAAUAACACAUUGAUGAUCUCUAGUCGCAAUAAAAUAAGGCAGCGUUUGGAGACAAGUUAACCUCUCUAUCCGAGAAAACACAGUGAUGAUGUCCGAAUUCUUAAAGUCGUAGUUAUAAGGCUCAUCGACCAGAAUAUGUCUUAAAUUGAUUAAGUUGCAAAUAUUUCUUGGAAGCUGUGUUGCACUCCGAACGCUCAAUGUCUGCAAGUUGUAGAGUCUCGUAAUGUAAUCAGGUAAUUUAUUCUUAGUCAUGUAGCAUCUUGAGAUAUCCAGAUACUUAAGAUACUUCAGAGUGCUCAAUGAACUUGGCAACGGAUCAUCUUCGAAGGUUCCUUCGAGAACCAAACCAAUUAAGUGACUGGGGUAAGGCACCAAGUCCUUGACGAUGCGAGCAUCUGCAUAUAAUACUUGUACUUUCUCAAAAUUUCUCUUAAGAAGGGGUGGCUUAAUAUUUGUAAUCCCUACAUCAACCUUCACAUAUAUGGCCUUGGAAAUAUCGUCUAACUCAUGACCAUCAGCCUUCACUGUUGCAGAAUGAUUUUUGGAUAGAUCUAGUGCUAGAUCAUGCACCAGAUCAUGCAUCUUGUAAUCACGUAUGUCGCCAUUUUGUAACAAACAAUUCCACAACAAUAUGUUAAAGUAUUCCCUCCCUAUAUCUUCCAUUAGCUUAUUGCUACCUUUAGGGGGCACAAGGAAUCCUAAUGCCAUCCAUAUACGUACCAUUUCACCUUUUGAGAUAAGAGAAUCCUUUGGCAAAAUUGAACAAUAUGCAAAACAUUUCUUUAGAGAAGAAUGAGGUAGAUUAUCAUAAGACAACCUCAAGGAAGGCAAUACAUCAUCAUUCGAAUCCCACGUUGCACUAUUUUGAAUCCGCAACCACUCUUGCUCAGACUUCUUAGAGUGCAGUAAACCUCCAAGUGCUUUUAUUGCCAAAGGCAGGCCACCACACCUUCCCACCAUUUUUCUUCCCAUGGCUACAAAUCUCGCCGUCUCUAAAACUCCUCCUCGUGAAAAUGCUCUUCGCUUGAACAAUUCCCAGCUAUCUUCUUUUGAUAAUUUCUCCACCCUAUGAGAAAUAAGACAUCGCAUGACAUCAACGACUUCCUGUUUACGAGUUGUAACUAAAAUCUUGCUACCACUCGCUCCACCAACCCCGAGCAAAGAAUUCCUUAACUUAUCCCACUCCUCUGGUCUCUCAUUCCAGACAUCAUCUAAGACGAGUAAAAACUUUACGUCCCUUAGAAAGCUUUGAAGUUUCUUAAUGAGUCCCUCUGUAUUUUCCAACACCGAAGUAGUUGAAGUGAGUGAUGCUACCAUUUGAUUUAAAAUUUUCAUGAAAUCAAAGUCAUCCGAUACAGUGACCCACAUCCUCUUCUUGAACAUAUCGGUUACAACAUCUCUGUUGUAAACCAUACGAGCAAGAGUUGUUUUGCCUUGACCUCCCAUCCCCAUUACAGCAAUGACUGGUAAAUCCUCUGCAUGAUUUGUGCACACUGUUUUGACUAAAAAUGAUAUUUCAUCAUCUCUUCCAACUAUUAGUGACUCGUCUUCAAAGGGGGGAGUAUUGCGGAUUUCCCUGGGCUGCACAGCAGUAGUUAAUUGCGCCACAGGCUGAAGUCCGAGAUCUCUGGCCAAUUGAAAAAUAUUGUCGAGAGAAGUAUGGAUAGAC